rnacentral:rRNA from 1 species
AACGAACGCUGGCGGCAGGCUUAACACAUGCAAGUCGAACGCUCGUAGCAAUACGGGAGUGGCGGACGGGUGAGUAACGCGUGGGAACGUGCCCUGAGGUACGGAAUAACUGAGGGAAACUUCAGCUAAUACCGUAUGAGCCCCGAGAGGGGGAAAGAUUUAUCGCCUUGGGAGCGGCCCGCGUCGGAUUAGCUAGUUGGUGGGGUAACGGCCUACCAAGGCUUCGAUCCGUAGCUGGUCUGAGCCAUGAUC